rnacentral:rRNA from 1 species
UGUAAAGUUCAAGCUCCGAUUAUGAGGGCGAAACCGCGAAUGGCUCAUUAAAUCAGUCAUAAUCUACUUGAUUGUUUAAAGUUUAUAUGGAUAACUGUGGUAAUUCUAGAGCUAAUACAUGCACAAAGAGGGCGACGUUUGAUUGUAAAAGGUUGAACGAAGCUUUGCGUUUAUUAGAUUAAGACCGAUGAAGUGUAAAAGCUUCCUCAUAUUUAAGGUGACUCUGAGUAAAUAAUGGGUGAAAGCCCAUGUUGCUGACCUGACAUACCAAAAGGCUCCUAAAAAAAGCCUGUCAGGCAAAUCAAUCGUGUGUCUGCUCUAUCAACUGUGGAUGGUAGGAUAAUUGCCUACCAUGGUGGUGACGGGUAACGGGGAGUUAGGGCUCGACUCCGGAGAACAAGCCUGAGAAACGGCUAGUAGGACUAAGGUCUGCAGCAGGCGCGAAACUUACACAAUGCUAGAUUUUUAAUAAUUAGCGAUGUAGUGAAGAAAAAUAACGAUGUACUUCCAUUUAAACAUGGUAGUACAAUUGGAAUGAGACGACUCUAAACCAGUCAGUCGAGUAACUAAUGGAGGGCAAGUCUGGUGCCAGCAGCCGCGGUAAUUCCAGCUCCAUUAGCAUACAUUAAAGUUGUUGCGGUUAAAAAGCUCGUAGUUGAAUUUUAGGCGGGCUUUAUUGGGAUGUAACCGUUAAGGGUUCUAUGAUUUAACUAUCUUAGUUAACCUGGUUAUCAUCAUCCAUUAGAAACCCGCUGUUUCGUCACUUAAUCGAGUGCGAAGCGGGCUGGAACUCUAAAAUAAUCUUUAUUGAUUAUUUAAGUUACAGCAUGUUUACCUUGAGAAAAUUAGAGUGCUCACAGCAGGCAGUUGGGGUGUAAAAGCUCCUUUAUGCUUGAAUAAUGUUGCAUGGAAUAAUAGAAUACGGCCUCGGUUCUAUUCUGUUGGUCUUAUAGAACAACAAAUAAGUUGGUUAAAGCGAUCAAAAGUUAAUUUUAAGUGUGGUUUUGGCUGAAUAGUUCUGUCAAAGUUUAUUUAGUUUGGUUGUCUUGUUACCUAGGGCCUUAAAAUCUUAGAGUCCCGCACUCCAUUACUAAAACCUUUGUACGUUCUACACUCUACCAAUUCCAUUUAAAGCACUUUUUAUUCAACUAGCUUUCUAAUCAACUGAGGCAAUGGUUAAAAGAAAUAGUUGCGGCGGCAUCAGUACUGCAUCGUGAGAGGUGAAAUUCUUAGACCGAUGCAAGACUAACUGAAGCGAAAGCGUUUGCCGAGGAUAUUUUCAUUAAUCAAGAACGAAAGUUAGAGGUUCGAAGGCGAUCAGAUACCGCCCUAGUUCUAACCAUAAACGUUGCCAACUAGCAAUUGGGUUGCGAUUCCUUUAAUCGAAGCUUAAAACACUUCGAUCAUUAUGAUCCACCCAGCGGCUCUCGUAGGGAAACCAAAGUGUUUGGGUUCCGGGGGAAGUAUGAUUGCAAAGUUGAAACUUAAAGGAAUUGACGGAAGGGCACCACCAGGAGUGGAGCCUGCGGCUUAAUUUGACUCAACACGGGGAAACUUACUAGAUUAGAACUCUGGAAUGAUUGACAGAUUGAUAGCUCUUUCUUGAUUCAGAGGAUGGUGGUGCAUGGCCGUUCUUGAUUCGUAUUCCGAAACGUCUGCUUAAUUGCGAUAACGAGUGAGACCUCAUCCAACUAACUAGUCGUUUGGUGCGCUGUGGAACGCAAAAGUUCUUGUAGGAUACGGUAUAAGCAAGUGAUUGGGGCAACUUAAUUAACUACUUAUACUACCUGCGUAGAAUGUUCUCUGCUCGCCAGCGGACUUCUUAGAGGGAUAAACGGUGUUUUAGCCGUAAGAAACGAGGCAAUAACAGGUCUGUGAUGCCCUUAGAUACUCUAGGCCGCACGCGUGCUACAAUGGCGUGUGCAGAAAGCUUGUUCGAGGUUUGUCUAAAGAGAACUAGUUGUUUGGUGUUAGAUAGGUAGCAAUAUUUGUUUAAUAUCGGCAAAAAAGUGACUUUAGUUAGCAGGCCGAGAGAAACCGUAGUCGAAAGAUUACGGCAAUCAAAAAUACACGCCGUGAUUUGGGAUUGGGGAUUGCAAUUGUUGCCCAUGAACGAGGAAUUCCCAGUAAGCGCAAUUCAUCAUAUUGCGUUGAUUACGUCCCUGCCCUUUGUACACACCGCCCGUCGCUACUACCGAUUGGAAGUUUUAGUGAGGCAUUUGGACCUGCUAUCCAUAAGUUGGGGCAACUCAGCCUAGGAAUUGGCGGGGAAGUCUGUCGAACUCAAAUUUCUAGAGGAAGUAAAAGUCGUAACAAGGUUUCCGU